rnacentral:rRNA from 1 species
GCUGAGCUGUGAUGGCGAGCGAAAUAUAGUAGCGAAGUUCCUGAUUCCACACUGCCAAGAAAAGCCUCUAGCGAGGUGAGAGGUGCCCGUACCGCAAACCGACACAGGUAGGCGAGGAGAGAAUCCUAAGGUGAUCGAGAGAACUCUCGUUAAGGAACUCGGCAAAAUGACCCCGUAACUUCGGGAGAAGGGGUGCUCUGUUAGGGUGCAAGCCCGAGAGAGCCGCAGUGAAUAGGCCCAGGCGACUGUUUAGCAAAAACACAGGUCUCUGCGAAGCCGUAAGGCGAAGUAUAGGGGCUGACGCCUGCCCGGUGCUGGAAGGUUAAGAGGAGCGCUUAGCGUAAGCGAAGGUGCGAAUUGAAGCCCCAGUAAACGGCGGCCGUAACAAUAACGGUCCUAAGGUAGCGAAAUUCCUUGUCGGGUAAGUUCCGACCCGCACGAAAGGCGCAACGAUCUGGGCACUGUCUCAACGAGAGACUCGGUGAAAUUAUAGUACCUGUGAAGAUGCAGGUUACCCGCGACAGGACGGAAAGACCCCGUGGAGCUUUACUGCAGCCUGAUAUUGAAUGUUGGUACAGCUUGUACAGGAUAGGUAGGAGCCUUGGAAACCGGAGCGCCAGCUUCGGUGGAGGCAUCGGUGGGAUACUACCCUGGCUGUAUUGACCUUCUAACCCGCCGCCCUUAUCGGGCGGGGAGACAGUGUCAGGUGGGCAGUUUGACUGGGGCGGUCGCCUCCUAAAAGGUAACGGAGGCGCCCAAAGGUUCCCUCAGAAUGGUUGGAAAUCAUUCGCAGAGUGUAAAGGCACAAGGGAGCUUGACUGCGAGACCUACAAGUCGAGCAGGGACGAAAGUCGGGCUUAGUGAUCCGGUGGUUCCGCAUGGAAGGGCCAUCGCUCAACGGAUAAAAGCUACCCCGGGGAUAACAGGCUUAUCUCCCCCAAGAGUCCACAUCGACGGGGAGGUUUGGCACCUCGAUGUCGGCUCAUCGCAUCCUGGGGCUGUAGUCGGUCCCAAGGGUUGGGCUGUUCGCCCAUUAAAGCGGUACGCGAGCUGGGUUCAGAACGUCGUGAGACAGUUCGGUCCCUAUCCGUCGCGGGCGCAGGAAAUUUGAGAGGAGCUGUCCUUAGUACGAGAGGACCGGGAUGGACGCACCGCUGGUGUACCAGUUGUUCUGCCAAGGGCAUCGCUGGGUAGCUAUGUGCGGACGGGAUAAGUGCUGAAAGCAUCUAAGCAUGAAGCCCCCCUCAAGAUGAGAUUUCCCAUUCCGCAAGGAAGUAAGAUCCCUGAAAGAUGAUCAGGUUGAUAGGUCUGAGGUGGAAGUGUGGCGACACAUGGAGCUGACAGAUACUAAUCGAUCGAGGAGAUCGGAAG